AAGACUAUAGACCUGCGGAGUACCGCGGAAGGAUCAUUACUGAAAGAUCACGGGGUUUUGAGACUGCAUCUUGAAAUGAUGUGUGCUCGACCCUACUCUUUUAUCCACAUACACCUUUUGUGCACUAUGGGACGAUUUAAAGUCCCCUUUAUUUACACAAACACUUGGUAUAUGCAUGUAUUUAAUACUCUAUUGAGUAAUGUACAACUUUCAGCAACGGAUCUCUAGAUCGGAAGAGCA
rnacentral:misc_RNA from 1 species